rnacentral:ncRNA from 2 species
GGUUUGCUAGCCUGCACGGGCCUCUCGUGGGGGAAGCCGGUGGGAAUCCGGCGCUGACCCGCAACGGUGUGCGUGGCCCACAGGGUGUCCUGGGGGCCGCGCGAGCCCGAUCGCCCGCGGCAGGAGUACCGA